GAUGAACGCUGGCGGCGUGCCUAAUACAUGCAAGUCGAGCGAACAGACGAGGAGCUUGCUCCUCUGACGUUAGCGGCGGACGGGUGAGUAACACGUGGAUAACCUACCUAUAAGACUGGGAUAACUUCGGGAAACCGGAGCUAAUACCGGAUAAUAUAUUGAACCGCAUGGUUCAAUAGUGAAAGACGGUUUUGCUGUCACUUAUAGAUGGUUCCGCGCCGCAUUAGCUAGUUGGUAAGGUAACGGCUUACCAAGGCAACGAUGCGUAGCCGACCUGAGAGGGUGAUCGGCCACACUGGAACUGAGAAAAGGUCCAGACUCCUACGGGAGGCAGCAGUAGGGAAUCUUCCGCAAUGGGCGAAAGCCUGACGGAGCAACGCCGCGUGAGUGAUGAAGGUCUUCGGAUCGUAAAACUCUGUUAUGAGGGAAGAACAAAUGUGUAAGUAACUAUGCACGUCUUGACGGUACCUAAUCAGAAAGCCACGGCUAACUACGUG
rnacentral:rRNA from 1 species